AACGAACGCUGGCGGCAGGCCUAACACAUGCAAGUCGAACGCUCUAGCAAUAGAGAGUGGCAGACGGGUGAGUAACGCGUGGGAACCUACCUAGUGGUGCGGAAUAGCUCAGGGAAACUUGGGGUAAUACCGCAUGAGCCCGAAAGGGGAAGAUUUAUCGCCAUUAGAUGGGCCCGCGUAGGAUUAGCUAGUUGGUGAGGUAAUGGCUCACCAAGGCAACGAUCCUUAGCUGGUUUGAGAGAAUGACCAGCCACACUGGGACUGAGACACGGCCCAGACUCCUACGGGAGGCAGCAGUGGGGAAUCUUGGACAAUGGGCGCAAGCCUGAUCCAGCCAUGCCGCGUGAGUGACGAAGGCCUUAGGGUUGUAAAGCUCUUUUGGCGGGGACGAUAAUGACGGUA
rnacentral:rRNA from 1 species